AAGACUUCAUUUAUAGUUCCUGUUAAAUUUUACCUUGAUAUUUAUUUAAAUUAUUGCUCUUUUCAUAAAUUUGUAUCCUAUUCGCACAAAACGACGGACCUUUAUAAAAUUACACGUGAACACACAAUGAUCAAUAAAAGCAGACCGACAGAGCAAGUCGCAGAUUGAUAUAAAGACGGGGAAAAAUAUAACAGGACAUAAAUAGAAAAUAAAACCGUAUACUAAAAUGUCCUAAGUUCCUCUUAUGGAUGAUAACCUUGCCAUACAGAUGCGGUAAUAUAUAAAUGAGUAGUUAUACUGCAAACAAUAGAGCCCAAACUGGAACAGAUCGCACGAUAGCCUUCCAAGGUCACAUUACGAUGACGUUUUUAUAUAUUUUAAUACACGUGUUGUAUAAAAAUAUACAAAAACAACGAAUUAGCAGUUCAU